rnacentral:tRNA from 1 species
AUUUUUUUUAUCUGUAUAGCUUAUUAGAGCGUAGCCUUGAAGAUGCUAAGGAAAU